rnacentral:rRNA from 1 species
CACGUAGUUAGCCGGAGCUUCCUCCUUAGGUACUGUCCUUUCUCUUCCCUAACGACAAUAGUUUACAAUCCGAAAACCUUCUUCCUAUACGCGGCGUCACUGCGUCAGAGUUUCCUCCAUUGCGCAAUAUUCCCGACUGCUGCCUCCCGUAGGAGUCUGGGCCGUAUCUCAGUCCCAAUGUGGCCGUUCAACCUCUCAGUCCGGCUACUGAUCGUCGACUUGGUAAGCCGUUACCUUACCAACUAUCUAAUCAGACGCAAGGCCAUCUUUUAGCGAAUUGCUCCUUUCCCACUAUUAUCAUGUGAUAAUUAUGGCAUAUGCGGUAUUAGCAAUGAUUUCUCAUUGUUAUUCCCCUCUAAAAGGCAGGUUCCUUACGCGUUACUCACCAGUCCGCCACUAACCGCUCUCAAUCUAAAAGAAUGAGUUAAGUUCGUUCGACUUGCAUGUCUUAUGUGCGCCGCCAGCGUUUUAUCCUGAGCCAGGAUCAAACUCU